rnacentral:lncRNA from 1 species
CAUCUCUCCACCAUGCACCUUGUGACUCCCUCCUCUGCUGACAACAGAUAACCACCUUUAACUCCUGUUUAGGUGGUCUUCUAUACGGACAUGCUUGACACUUGGUGCCAAAAUCUGGGCCAGGGGGACUCCUUCGUGAGACCGGCCCCCUGUCCUGGCCCUCAUUCCGUGAAGAGAUCCACCUGCGACCUCGGGUCCUCAGACCAGCCCAAGGAACAUCUCACCAAUUUCAAAUCGGGUAAGUGGUCUCUUCACUCUUUUCUCCAGCCUCUGUCGCUACCCUCCAAUCUCCCUGUCCAGUCUUUUUCUUCUCUAGUAGAGACAAAGGAGACACAUUUUAUCCGUGGACCCAAAACUCUGGCGCUGGUCACAGACUCAGGAAGACAGUCUUCCCUUGGUGUCUAAUCACUGCGGGGACGCCUGCCUAAUUAUUCACCCACAUUCCACUGGUGUCUGAUCACCUUGGGGAUGCCUGCCUUGGUCAUUCACCCACAUUCCCAUGGUGGCAAGUCAUUUGCGGGGACGCCUGCUUUGGCUGCUCACCCCCGCCCUUCUCCGUGUCUCUACUUCUCUCUUUAAACUUACCUCCUUCACUUUGGGCAAUCUUCCGCCCUCCAUUCCUCCCUCUUCCCCCUUAGCCUGUGUACUUAAAAACUUCUCUUAAACUAACACCUGAUAUAAAACUCAAACGUCUUAUUUUCUUCUGCAAUACUGCUUGGCCGCAAUAUAAACUUGACAAUGGUUCCAAGUGGCCAGAAAACGGCACUUUUGAUUUCUCCAUCCUACAAGACCUAGAUCAUUUUUGUCAAAAAAUGGGCACAUGGUCUGAGGUGCCUUGCGUCCAGGCAUUUUUUACACUUCGCUCCCUCCCAAGCCUCUGCUCCCAAUGUGACUCAUCCCAAAUUUUU